rnacentral:rRNA from 1 species
AUUGAACGCUGGCGGCAGGCCUAACACAUGCAAGUCGAGCGGUAGCACAGGGAGCUUGCUCCUGGGUGACGAGCGGCGGACGGGUGAGUAAUGUCUGGGAAACUGCCUGCUGGAGGGGGAUAACUACUGGAAACGGUAGCUAAUACCGCAUAACGUCGCAAGACCAUAGAGGGGGACCUUCGGGCAUCUUGCUAUCAGAUGUGCCCAGAUGGGAUUAGCUAGUAGGUGGGGUAGCGGCUCACCUAGGCGACGAUCCCUAGCUGGUCUGAGAGGAUGACCAGCCACACUGGAACUGAGACACGGUCCAGACUCCUACGGGAGGCAGCAGUGGGGAAUAUUGCACAAUGGGCGCAAGCCUGAUGCAGCCAUGCCACGUGUAUGAAGAAGGCCUUCGGGUUGUAAAGUACUUUCAGCGGGGAGGAAGGUGUUGAGGUUAAUAACCUCAGCAAUUGACGUUACCCGCAGAAGAAGCACCGGCUAACUCCGUGCCAGCCGCCGCAGUAACAC